rnacentral:lncRNA from 1 species
CCCACUCAUAGUUCCACAUCACACACACACAAAAGGUCAUCCCAAGCCACAUGCUUCAGGGAUUCAGUCCCAACACAGUUCAUAUAUCAUAAUUCAUAUCUAUUGCAAAUACAAAUUAGGGUUUAGGUCGAGUGAGAUAAAGUACACGCUCGCCUAAGCACCCUUAUAUCACACACAAUUCAUAUUGGUGACAUUUAACACAUAAACGUCCCAGUUACUUACUUAGAGUACAAAAGUAGACAAAAACGGCACUUGGUCAAACUCAACCGUCAGU